rnacentral:ncRNA from 2 species
AAGCCCGUACGCGACUGGCGAUAGGCGCCGAACCAGCUUGGUUCAGUGCGCCGAGGUGGGACAACCACCGGGAAGCGUGCCGCACAACCCUUGCGGGAAACUGCGUUCAGCCGUUCGCCUGGGCAGCCCUG